GUGAAGAACUAGUAUCGGUUUCCUUUGCCAGCAAUUUUUUAAGGCAAUAGCAUAAGCCUUGCAGAUAACCAACUGAUCAUUUAUUUCUGUCAGUCUAUCACAGUUCCUGUUCAAAAACAUCGUUCUUCUUUGUGUACGUCGAAUCUUCCGUGCAUAUUUUCUGCGAUCGAAUUGGACUGCUCAACGCUAGAAGAAGUACUCACCUUGGCGGCGUGGCCAUGGUUGCUGCUGAUGCUCCCUGAGAGUAGGGCGGAUAAAGCGAGAUGGUGGCGGCGGCGGCGACGCAGACGUCGACGGCACGUCGGGCGGCUCCUCUUUGAUAUGCCCCAGCAGCAGCGGCUCCUGCGGCCCCAGGAAGCUGUCCUCGACUGCACCCACAAGACAAUCACGGAUCCCGAGGACACCGCGGCCACAGCAUCUGCCACAGGGGGCGUCAUCACGACACCGCGGGACGACCCCAUGGAGACGGAGCCUCCGCCUCCUCUCAUCCUACCGAUGGAGCUGGACCCGCCCACGUCUUCGACAUUUUGCUAUUGGCCUCAGGAGGGGGACGCGUACUCUUCUGGUCGUUUUCCGGGGAACGUUUCCGCCAGAAGGAAGGCCGGAUGGCGGGGUACGACCGGAAGCCUGACGUCCCCUGCGGCCACGGCUUCCGGUACAGCGCAGUGUCCACCCUCCUGCCUCCCACGCCGUGGUGGCGCUCAGUAUACUACUACGACGGUCCGUCGCUUUGGGGGCGGGGAGGGGGAGGGGGAAUGUUCCGGCGUAACGUCAAGCGCUAGCAAGACG